GUGAAUCAUCGAAUCUUUGAACGCACAUUGCGCCUCCCUUAACCGGGGGGCAUGCCUGUCUGAGCGUCAUUUAAACCUAUGGACCCGAUUGGGUUCCGUGUUGGGCCUCGCCCCUCUUUGAGAGGCGUCGCCUUAAAGGCAUCGGCUUUAUGGAGCGGACGGGAUCCUUUUGGACUGACCGUUUCAUGGCUGGAAUUUGACUCUGACUUGACCUCAGAUCAGGUAGGGACACCGCCUGAACUUAAGCAUAUCAAUAAGCGGAGGA
rnacentral:misc_RNA from 1 species